AGGUAAGCUACUAAGAGCGAAUGGUGGAUGCCUUGACUGGUAAAGGCGAUGAAGGACGUACUAGACUGCGAUAAGCUACGGGGAGCUGUCAAGAAGCUUUGAUCCGUAGAUUUCCGAAUGGGGCAACCCAAUGUAUAGAGAUAUACAUUACCUAUAUAGGAGCGAACGAGGGGAAUUGAAACAUCUUAGUACCCUCAGGAAAAGAAAUCAAUAGAGAUUGCGUCAGUAGCGGCGAGCGAAAGCGCAAGAGGGCAAACCCAGUGCUUGCACUGGGGGUUGUAGGACUGCAAUGUGCAAGAGGUAAGUUUAGCAGAACAUUCUGGAAAGUAUAACCAUAGAGGGUGAUAGUCCCGUAUGCGAAAAACAAACCUUAGCUAGCAGUAUCCUGAGUAGGGCGGGACACGAGGAAUCCUGUCUGAAUCCGGGUCGACCACGAUCCAACCCUAAAUACUAAUACCAGAUCGAUAGUGCACAAGUACCGUGAGGGAAAGGUGAAAAGAACUGAGGUGAUCAGAGUGAAAUAGAACCUGAAACCAUUUGCUUACAAUCAUUCAGAGCCUUAUGUAGCAAUACAGGGUGAUGGACUGCCUUUUGCAUAAUGAGCCUGCGAGUUGUGGUGUCUGGCAAGGUUAAGCAAACGCGAAGCCGUAGCGAAAGCGAGUCUGAAUAGGGCGCUUAGUCAGAUGCUGCAGACCCGAAACGAAGUGAUCUAUCCAUGAGCAAGUUGAAGCUAGUGUAAGAACUAGUGGAGGACUGAACCCAUAGGCGUUGAAAAGCCCCGGGAUGACUUGUGGAUAGGGGUGAAAGGCCAAUCAAACUUCGUGAUAGCUGGUUCUCUCCGAAAUAUAUUUAGGUAUAGCGUUGUGUCGUAAUAUAAGGGGGUAGAGCACUGAAUGGGCUAGGGCAUACACCAAUGUACCAAACCCUAUCAAACUCCGAAUACCUUAUAUGUAAUCACAGCAGUCAGGCGGCGAGUGAUAAAAUCCGUCGUCAAGAGGGAAACAACCCAGACUACCAGCUAAGGUCCCUAAAUCUUACUUAAGUGGAAAACGAUGUGAAGUUACUUAAACAACCAGGAGGUUGGCUUAGAAGCAGCCAUCCUUUAAAGAAAGCGUAAUAGCUCACUGGUCUAGUGAUUUUGCGCGGAAAAUAUAACGGGGCUAAAGUAAGUACCGAAGCUGUAGACUUAGUUUACUAAGUGGUAGGAGAGCGUUCUAUUUGCGUCGAAGGUAUACCGGUAAGGAGUGCUGGAGCGAAUAGAAGUGAGCAUGCAGGCAUGAGUAGCGAUAAUUAAUGUGAGAAUCAUUAACGCCGUAAACCCAAGGUUUCCUACGCGAUGCUCGUCAUCGUAGGGUUAGUCGGGUCCUAAGUCGAGUCCGAAAGGGGUAGACGAUGGCAAAUUGGUUAAUAUUCCAAUACCAACAUUAGUGUGCGAUGGAAGGACGCUUAGGGCUAAGGGGGCUAGCGGAUGGAAGUGCUAGUCUAAGGUCGUAGGAGGUUAUACAGGCAAAUCCGUAUAACAAUACUCCGAGAACUGAAAGGCUUUUUGAAGUCUUCGGAUGGAUAGAAGAACCCCUGAUGCCGUCGAGCCAAGAAAAGUUUCUAAGUUUAGCUAAUGUUGCCCGUACCGUAAACCGACACAGGUGGGUGGGAUGAGUAUUCUAAGGCGCGUGG
rnacentral:rRNA from 1 species